rnacentral:rRNA from 1 species
GAAGAAGUGAAUUAAGGGCAUUUGGUGGAUGCCUUGGCAUGCACAGGCGAAGAAGGACGUGAUACGCUGCGAUAAGCCGUGGGGAGCUGCGAAUAAGCUUUGAUCCAUGGAUUUCCGAAUGGGGGAACCCACCUUAGAUAUCUAGAAAAUCUGUUUUGCUAAACACCUUGAAGUUUUGAUCGGUUUGCAUGGGACUUCCCAUACAGACCGAUAGGUCGUCGCCAACAGUUUGGCGCGCCGUCUGCAGCGCAGCGAUCGAAGAUCGCGACAGCGUGAAGACAAAACAAACCCGGCGAUACCGGGUUCGAGGGUUCAGCGAAAGAGGUUUCUAGAUAUCAUAAUAAGGUAUCUGCACCUGAAUACAUAGGGUGUAAGAAGCGAACUCAGGGAACUGAAACAUCUAAGUACCUGAAGGAAAGGACAUCAACCGAGACUCC